GUGGAGGCAGCAGUGGGGAAUUUUGGGCAAUGGGCGAAAGCCUGACCCAGCAACGCCGCGUGAAGGAUGAAAUCCCUCGGGAUGUAAACUUCGCAAGAACGGGAAGAAUAAGUGAGAGUUAAUAUCUCUCGCGAUGACGGUACUGUUUGUAAGCUCCGGCUAACUCCGUGCCAGCAGCCGCGGUAAUACGGGGGGAGCAAGCGUUGUUCGGAUUUACUGGGCGUAAAGGGCGCGUAGGCGGCCACCGCAAGUCGAUUGUGAAAUCUCCGGGCUUAACCCGGAAAGGUCAACCGAUACUGCGGGGCUAGAGUGCGGAAGGGGCAACUGGAAUUCUCGGUGUAGCGGUGAAAUGCGUAGAUAUCGAGAGGAACACCUGCGGCGAAGGCGGGUUGCUGGGCCGACACUGACGCUGAUGCGCGAAAGCUAGGGGAGCGAACGGGAUUAGAUACCCUCGUAC
rnacentral:rRNA from 1 species